rnacentral:rRNA from 1 species
UCAGUGCAGGCCUUUAUACGGUGAAACCGCGAAUGGCUCAUUAAAUCAGCUAUGGUUUAUUGGAUCGUACCCGUUAAAUGGAUAACUGUAAUAACUCUAGAGCUAAUACAUGCCACGAUGCCCUGACCCUUGCGGGGAUGGGUGCACUUAUUAGAUCAGAAGCCAACCGUGCACGGCCAAAAGCUGUGCAUGUUGCCCUUCUGGUGACUCUGGAUAAUUGUUACAGAUCGCAGUCGGCCUUGAGUCGGCGACGGGUCCUUCAAAUGUCUUCCCUAUCAACUUUCGAUGGUAGGUGACCUGCCUACCAUGGUGAUAACGGGUAACGGGGAAUCAGGGUUCGAUUCCGGAGAGGGAGCCUGAGAAACGGCUACCACUUCCAAGGAAGGCAGCAGGCACGCAAAUUACCCACUCCCGGUACGGGGAGGUGGU